rnacentral:rRNA from 1 species
UGGGUAACCAACCCUCGGUUCUGGGAUAGCCCGGGGAAACCCGGAUUAAUACCAGACGGCCUCUCGGGUUCACGGACCUGAGAGAAAAGGGAGCUUCGGCCUCCGACCGAGGACGGGCCCGCGGCCGAUUAGCUUGUUGGCGGGGUAACGGCCCACCAAGGCAACGAUCGGUAGCUGGUCUGAGAGGACGAUCAGCCACGACUGGGACUGAGACACGGCCCAGACUCCUACGGGAGGCAG